CUUCCCCUGCGAACCAGGGUCAUUCCCCCCUCUUGAUACCACAGAGACUGCUCCCCACAGCCCUGGUUUUGCGCUCUGUUCCCGCGGGCAGCCCAUGCGUGGCCCUGCAUGGCGUGCAGUGUCUGUCUUCCCUGGGCCGUGAGUCCAUGUGGCUCUGGAUGUAUACGUGUUGGGUAGCCCCUGUUCAGUCAGCCCCAUGACCCAAGCAGGAAUCCUCCCUCAGCAGCCAGGUGAAUAAGAAGGAAUUCAAACAGGAGGCAGCCCCAGCACGAGCAGGGUGAGGCCGAGGCCAGCUACACACACACACACAUACAGAGAAUUUCAAAGCUGGAUAAACCUGUCUCACCCCGUAAAUAAGGAAACAGACCUAGAGGCCAAGGUUUCUGCCUUCCCAUACCUUUUCCAUGCUUCACCAGGAGGAUCAGGAAGGGAAGUACACAGGAGGUAUAUAAAGCUUCGUUCCCCUAGGCCUGAGAGACAAGUCAAGGAGUACGCUGACUUCAGUAGGAAGGAGGUGGUCAACAGGAAACAUCGUGGGAGCUUGCAGAAAAUGAACCAAAACUUGGAAGAUUUUCUGGAUGGCUCCAUGGACUCUUGAGGUAUUUUCAUUUAAAAGGCAUUCGGUCCACUGACCCCCAUGUGUGGCAUUUUCAGCUUAGUUCACUGAACUCUUUACUCACAGAUAAGCCUAUUGCCGAUCUCUGGGUCAGAGAAGGUCUUUCUUCGUGGUAAUGGCUGACAGGGACAAAGGCUUCCCAGCAGGAAG
rnacentral:lncRNA from 1 species